rnacentral:rRNA from 1 species
GAUGAACGCUAGCUACAGGCUUAACACAUGCAAGUCGAAGGGCAGCAUUAGGUAGCAAUACUGAGAUGGCGACCGGCGCACGGGUGCGUAACGCGUAUCCAACCUUCCCGUUACUCAUGGAUAGCCUUCCGAAAGGGAGAUUAAUACAUGAUGGUGUUGAAAUUCCGCAUGUUAUUUCAACUAAAGAUUUAUCGGUAACGGAUGGGGAUGCGUGACAUUAGAUAGAUGGCGGGGUAACGGCCCACCAUGUCCACGAUGUCUAGGGGUUCUGAGAGGAAGGUCCCCCACACUGGAACUGAGACACGGUCCAGACUCCUACGGGAGGCAGCAGUGAGGAAUAUUGGUCAAUGGCCGGAAGGCUGAACCAGCCAAGUAGCGUGAAGGAUGAAGGUUCUAUGGAUUGUAAACUUCUUUUAUACGGGAAUAAAACCUCCCACGUGUGGGAGCUCGUAUGUACCGUAUGAAUAAGCAUCGGCUAACUCCGUGCCAGCCGCCGCAGUAAUAC